rnacentral:rRNA from 1 species
CCUACGAGUGGCCGCAGUGAGGAAUAUUGGUCAAUGGGCGGAAGCCUGAACCAGCCAAGUAGCGUGCAGGAUGACGGCCCUACGGGUUGUAAACUGCUUUUAUCCGGGAAUAACGCGCCUUACGUGUAGGGCUUUGCAUGUACCGUAUGAAUAAGGACCGGCUAAUUCCGUGCAAGCAGCCGCGGUAAUACGGAAGGUCCGGGAGUUAUCCGGAUUUAUUGUGUUUAAAGGGAGCGUAGGCCGCAUGUCAAGCGUGCUGUGAAAUGUCCGGGCUCAACCCGGGCCUUGCAGCGCGAACUGGCGUGCGUGAGUCCGCGGAAAUCAGGCGGAAUUCGUCGUGUAGCGGUGAAAUGCUUAGAUAUGACGAAGAACCCCGAUUGCGAAGGCAGCUUGCUGCAGCGGAACUGACGCUGAUGCUCGAAAGCGCGGGUAUCAAACAGGAUUAGAUACCCUUGUAGUC